GCCAAAUAAGUUUGCAAAAUUUAGCAUAAUUCCAAACUGCGAAUUUAUUACACGCAUUUAUGUCAGUUCGCACUUCUGUAGUUUUUGCCUAUUCGUAUUGUUUGCUAACCUGUUUGGCGCACUAAUGCCAAUUUACACUUUUACCAGUUAGCAAGUUUAAAGCUAUAGGUUAUACUAUAGCUUUAAACUUUAGUCCAGAUAAUUCUUUUAACCCAGAUAAUAUUCAUAUAUAUGACUACACUAAUGGUUAGUGUACACUUAUGAUCUGGACUAUAUUAAUGAUUUAUGAAAAAUUCACUCAUGGCCAAAUCUAAUAUGGCAGCUGGAAAAGGCAAAGGAUCUUUUUAGCCUAACUAAGCUAUACAACUUAAUAAAAGUUUGUGCAUCGACUUCUCACGAAUCAUACACAGAGUCGAUUGUCGAUGCAAUAAUUGCUGAUUCGUGAAAACGGGCAACUUUUGCUUGUCUUAAAGUGCCUUAUAUCCAUCGUUAUAAUAUUACUUUGUUUGUAAAUUGUUUUAAAAAAUAAAUUUUAAAAUAACUUUUAAAUAAA